CCUACGGGAGGCAGCAGUGGGGAAUCUUGCGCAAUGGGCGAAAGCCUGACGCAGCAACGCCGCGUGCGGGAAGAAGGCUUUCGGGCUGUAAACCGCUUUCAGCAGGAACGAAAAUGACGGUACCUGCAGAAGAAGGAGCGGCCAACUAUGUGCCAGCAGCCGCGGUGAUACAUAGGCUUCAAGCGUUGUCCGGAUUUAUUGGGCGUAAAGAGUUCGUAGGCGGUCGAGUAAGUCGGGUGUGAAAAUUCUGGGCUCAACCCAGAGACGCCACCCGAUACUGCUUGACUUGAGUUCGAUAGGGGAGUGGGGAAUUCCUAGUGUAGCGGUGAAAUGCGCAGAUAUUAGGAGGAACACCGGUGGCGAAGGCGCCACUCUGGAUCGAUACUGACGCUGAGGAACGAAAGCAUGGGUAGCAAACAGGAUUAGAUACCCUGGUAGUCCAUGCCGUAAACGGUGGGCACUAGGUGUGGGUUUCUAUUAACGAAAUCCGCGCCGUCGCUAACGCAUAGUGCCGCCGUGGGUAGGUACGGUCGCAGACUAAACUACAAUAGAGUUAGACGGCGUGAGACGUGCCGACGGACGACGACGAGGGAGGUAGG
rnacentral:rRNA from 1 species